rnacentral:rRNA from 1 species
UACGAAGGGUGCAAGCGUUAAUCGGAAUUACUGGGCGUAAAGCGCGCGUAGGUGGUUCAGUAAGUUGGAAGUGAAAUCCCCGGGCUCAACCUGGGAACUGCUUUCAAAAGUGCUGAGCUAGAGUACGGUAGAGGGUGGUGGAAUUUCCUGUGUAGCGGUGAAAUGCGUAGAUAUAGGAAGGAACACCAGUGGCGAAGGCGACCACCUGGACUGAUACUGACACUGAGGUGCGAAAGCGUGGGGAGCAAACAGG